rnacentral:lncRNA from 1 species
UCUGCCUCCAAGUGCUGGGAUUAAAGGCAUGAGCCACCACGCCCAGCUCAAUAGUAGUUUUUAAAAGGAAGAAAAUUAUGACCGUUUGAUUUAAUUUGAGUUUUUAAAUUUAUAUAGAUUUUUGUUUCGUUUUAGAAUUUAAAUAUAUCUUUGAUAUCUCAAGUCUAGCACUUAGGUAAUGACUAGAAUACUUGCCAUUUUCUAGAUUCAAAAAUAUUCACUUUAUCCCUAAGCAAUUAUAAAAGAAAAAUAGCCAAGAAAUAAAAUAACAUUUAUGUGGAAGAAUGUAAGAUAAUUUGUAUUGUAGGAAACUAAGUUUAUAUGGUUGAAAAAAGCAAAAACCCACUCAAGUCAGACAGACAUGCCUUUUCUUCUACUGAUGUUGUCUUGAGAACAGGAGAAGGCACAGUCGGUAAAUUAGCUGCUGUACAAGCAUAAAGACCUGGAGAAAGAACCAGGCAUGGCAACUUCCUAGGCUGGAGAAGUGGUGGGAACAAGCUUAUUGGCUGGCCUGCCUAGCUGACCUCCCGAGAACCUUGACCUUCAUAUAACAAAGCACACACAGAGGAUUAGCCUUCCACUAUUUUCUCUGUGGUGCUGGGAUUGAGCCUAGGGCCUUGCCCAUGCUAGGGCAAACCCUUUGUCGCUAAGCUAUACUUAAAGCUCCCAUUCUGCUUUUUUAAACAAAAAAGGACAACAGGGGACAAGUAGAUGUCAUAGUGAGUACAAUAUUUGCUGUGCAAGCCUGAGAACUUGGGUUUGGAUUCCCCAGUGCCCUUGUGAAACCAGGCGAGGAGGCAUGCAUUCAUCCAACCUGGGGGGAGGAGAGCCAGGUGGAUUCUGGGGUCUGAUAGCCAACCAGUUUAGUGCAAAAGGCAAGAUCUAGGUUUACCAAGAGAUCCUGUCUCAAAACACAAGGUUUAGAGAGAGAGAGGACCAACAUAGACCUCUGGCCUACACACAUGUAUGUACAUGUAUAUACCACAAAAGUAUUCGAAAGUAUAGAAUCUAUAAGCUUGCCUUGAUCUGCUUUUCCUUGUUAAAUUUUCAAGUAGUGUUUAUACUUAUAGUGUUCAGUACCUGUUUAUUCGGAAGAAGUGCAUAUCAAUAGCAAGUGUCUUU